UGGGGAAUAUUGCACAAUGGGGGAAACCCUGAUGCAGCGACGCCGCGUGAACGAAGAAGGUAUUCGUAUCGUAAAGUUCUGUCCUAUGGGAAGAUAAUGACAGUACCAUAGAAGAAAGCUCCGGCUAAAUACGUGCCAGCAGCCGCGGUAAUACGUAUGGAGCGAGCGUUGUCCGGAAUUAUUGGGCGUAAAGGGUACGCAGGCGGUUUAAUAAGUCGAAUGUUAAAGAUCGGGGCUCAACCCCGUAAAGCAUUGGAAACUGAUAAACUUGAGUAGUGGAGAGGAAAGUGGAAUUCCUAGUGUAGUGGUGAAAUACGUAGAUAUUAGGAGGAAUACAGUAGCGAAGGCGACUUUCUGGACACAAACUGACGCUGAGGUACGAAAGCGUGGGGAGCAAACAGG
rnacentral:rRNA from 1 species